rnacentral:rRNA from 1 species
AACGAACGCUGGCGGCGUGGAUAAGACAUGCAAGUCGAACGAGAGAAUUGCUAGCUUGCUAAUAAUUCUCUAGUGGCGCACGGGUGAGUAACACGUGAGUAACCUGCCCCCGAGAGCGGGAUAGCCCUGGGAAACUGGGAUUAAUACCGCAUAGUAUCGAAAGAUUAAAGCAGCAAUGCGCUUGGGGAUGGGCUCGCGGCCUAUUAGUUAGUUGGUGAGGUAACGGCUCACCAAGGCGAUGACGGGUAGCCGGUCUGAGAGGAUGUCCGGCCACACUGGAACUGAGACACGGUCCAGACACCUACGGGUGGCAGCAGUCGAGAAUCAUUCACAAUGGGGGAAACCCUGACGGUGCGACGCCGCGUGGGGGAAUGAAGGUCUUCGGAUUGUAAACCCCUGUCAUGUGGGAGCAAAUUAAAAAGAUAGUACCACAAGAGGAAGAGACGGCUAACUCUGUGCCAGCAGCCGCGGUAAUACAGAGGUCUCAAGCGUUGUUCGGAAUCACUGGGCGUAAAGCGUGCGUAGGCUGUUUCGUAAGUCGUGUGUGAAAGGCGCGGGCUCAACCCGCGGACGGCACAUGAUACUGCGAGACUAGAGUAAUGGAGGGGGAACCGGAAUUCUCGGUGUUGCUGUGAAAUGCGUAUAUAUCGAGAGGAACACUCGUGGCGAAGGCGGGUUCCUGGACCUUAACUGCCGCUGAGGCACGAGGGCCGGGGGAGCGAAAGGGAUUAGAUACCCCUGUAGUCCUGGCAGUAAACGGUGCACGCUUGGUGUGCGGGGAAUCGACCCCCUGCGUGCCGGAGCUAACGCGUUAAGCGUGCCGCCUGGGGAGUACGGUCGCAAGAUUAAAACUCAAAGAAAUUGACGGGGACCCGCACAAGCGGUGGAGUAUGUGGCUUAAUUCGAUGCAACGCGAAGAACCUUACCUGGGCUUGACAUGUAAUGAACAACAUGUGAAAGCAUGCGACUCUUCGGAGGCGUUACACAGGUGCUGCAUGGCCGUCGUCAGCUCGUGUCGUGAGAUGUUUGGUUAAGUCCAGCAACGAGCGCAACCCCUGUUGCCAGUUACCAGCACGUGAAGGUGGGGACUCUGGCGAGACUGCCCAGAUCAACUGGGAGGAAGGUGGGGAGGACGUCAGGUCAGUAUGGCCCUUAUGCCCAGGGCUGCACACGUACUACAAUGCCCAGUACAGAGGGGGCGGAAGCCGCGAGGCGGAGGAAAUCCUGAAAACUGGGCCCAGUUCGGACUGUAGGCUGCAACCCGCCUACACGAAGCCGGAAUCGCUAGUAAUGGCGCAUCAGCUACGGCGCCGUGAAUAAGAUCCCGGGUCUUGCACA